rnacentral:rRNA from 1 species
UUAAGCGACUAAGCGUACACGGUGGAUGCCCUGGCAGUCAGAGGCGAUGAAGGACGUGCUAAUCUGCGAAAAGCGUCGGUAAGGUGAUAUGAACCGUUAUAACCGGCGAUGUCCGAAUGGGGAAACCCAGUGCAAUUCGUUGCACUAUCGUUAACUGAAUACAUAGGUUAACGAGGCGAACCGGGGGAACUGAAACAUCUAAGUACCCCGAGGAAAAGAAAUCAACCGAGAUUCCCCCAGUAGCGGCGAGCGAACGGGGAGCAGCCCAGAGUCUGAAUCAGCUUGUGUGUUAGUGGAACGGUCUGGAAAGUCCGACGGUACAGGGUGAUAGUCCCGUACACCAAAAUGCACAGGCUGUGAACUCGAAGAGUAGGGCGGGACACGUGGUAUCCUGUCUGAAUAUGGGGGGACCAUCCUCCAAGGCUAAAUACUCCUGACUGACCGAUAGUGAACCAGUACCGUGAGGGAAAGGCGAAAAGAACCCCGGCGAGGGGAGUGAAAAAGAACCUGAAACCGUGUACGUACAAGCAGUGGGAGCACCUUCGGGUGUGACUGCGUACCUUUUGUAUAAUGGGUCAGCGACUUAUAUUCUGUAGCAAGGUUAACCGUAUAGGGGAGCCGCAGGGAAACCGAGUCUUAACUGGGCGUUAAGUUGCAGGGUAUAGACCCGAAACCCGGUGAUCUAGCCAUGGGCAGGUUGAAGGUUGGGUAACACUAACUGGAGGACCGAACCGACUAAUGUUGAAAAAUUAGCGGAUGACUUGUGGCUGGGGGUGAAAGGCCAAUCAAACCGGGAGAUAGCUGGUUCUCCCCGAAAGCUAUUUAGGUAGCGCCUCGUGAAUUCAUCUUCGGGGGUAGAGCACUGUUUCGGCUAGGGGGUCAUCCCGACUUACCAACCCGAUGCAAACUACGAAUACCGAAGAAUGUUAUCACGGGAGACACACGGCGGGUGCUAACGUCCGUCGUGAAGAGGGAAACAACCCAGACCGCCAGCUAAGGUCCCAAAGUCAUGGUUAAGUGGGAAACGAUGUGGGAAGGCACAGACAGCCAGGAUGUUGGCUUAGAAGCAGCCAUCAUUUAAAGAAAGCGUAAUAGCUCACUGGUCGAGUCGGCCUGCGCGGAAGAUGUAACGGGGCUAAACCAUGCACCGAAGCUGCGGCAGCGACACUAUGUGUUGUUGGGUAGGGGAGCGUUCUGUAAGCCUGCGAAGGUGACCUGUGAGGGUUGCUGGAGGUAUCAGAAGUGCGAAUGCUGACAUAAGUAACGAUAAAGCGGGUGAAAAGCCCGCUCGCCGGAAGACCAAGGGUUCCUGUCCAACGUUAAUCGGGGCAGGGUGAGUCGACCCCUAAGGCGAGGCCGAAAGGCGUAGUCGAUGGGAAACAGGUUAAUAUUCCUGUACUUGGUGUUACUGCGAAGGGGGGACGGAGAAGGCUAUGUUAGCCGGGCGACGGUUGUCCCGGUUUAAGCAUGUAGGCUGAUUGUCCAGGCAAAUCCGGAUAAUCAAGGCUGAGGUGUGAUGACGAGGCACUACGGUGCUGAAGUAACAAAUGCCCUGCUUCCAGGAAAAGCCUCUAAGCAUCAGGUAACAUUAAAUCGUACCCCAAACCGACACAGGUGGUCAGGUAGAGAAUACCAAGGCGCUUGAGAGAACUCGGGUGAAGGAACUAGGCAAAAUGGUGCCGUAACUUCGGGAGAAGGCACGCUGGUGUGUAGGUGAAGCCCCUGCGGGUGGAGCUGAGACCAGUCGAAGAUACCAGCUGGCUGCAACUGUUUAUUAAAAACACAGCACUGUGCAAACACGAAAGUGGACGUAUACGGUGUGACGCCUGCCCGGUGCCGGAAGGUUAAUUGAUGGGGUUAUCCGUAAGGAGAAGCUCUUGAUCGAAGCCCCGGUAAACGGCGGCCGUAACUAUAACGGUCCUAAGGUAGCGAAAUUCCUUGUCGGGUAAGUUCCGACCUGCACGAAUGGCGUAAUGAUGGCCAGGCUGUCUCCACCCGAGACUCAGUGAAAUUGAACUCGCUGUGAAGAUGCAGUGUACCCGCGGCAAGACGGAAAGACCCCGUGAACCUUUACUAUAGCUUGACACUGAACAUUGAGCCUUGAUGUGUAGGAUAGGUGGGAGGCUUUGAAGCGUGGACGCCAGUCUGCGUGGAGCCAACCUUGAAAUACCACCCUUUAAUGUUUGAUGUUCUAACGUUGGCCCCUUAUCGGGGUUGCGGACAGUGUCUGGUGGGUAGUUUGACUGGGGCGGUCUCCUCCCAAAGCGUAACGGAGGAGCACGAAGGUUAGCUAAUCCUGGUCGGACAUCAGGAGGUUAGUGCAAUGGCAUAAGCUAGCUUGACUGCGAGCGUGACGGCGCGAGCAGGUGCGAAAGCAGGUCAUAGUGAUCCGGUGGUUCUGAAUGGAAGGGCCAUCGCUCAACGGAUAAAAGGUACUCCGGGGAUAACAGGCUGAUACCGCCCAAGAGUUCAUAUCGACGGCGGUGUUUGGCACCUCGAUGUCGGCUCAUCACAUCCUGGGGCUGAAGUAGGUCCCAAGGGUAUGGCUGUUCGCCAUUUAAAGUGGUACGCGAGCUGGGUUUAGAACGUCGUGAGACAGUUCGGUCCCUAUCUGCCGUGGGCGCUGGAGAAUUGAGGGGGGCUGCUCCUAGUACGAGAGGACCGGAGUGGACGCAUCACUGGUGUUCGGGUUGUCAUGCCAAUGGCACUGCCCGGUAGCUAAAUGCGGAAGAGAUAAGUGCUGAAAGCAUCUAAGCACGAAACUUGCCCCGAGAUGAGUUCUCCCUGAGACUUUAAGUCUCCUGAAGGAACGUUGAAGACGACGACGUUGAUAGGCCGGGUGUGUAAGCGCAGCGAUGCGUUGAGCUAACCGGUACUAAUGAACCGUGAGGCUUAACCUU